AUCCUAUGGUAAGGGAAUUUACAUAGUAGCUCUUUGAAUCUUUCCCAUGCCUCGUAUAGGGACUCAUCAUCCAUCUGCUAAAAAGUGAUGAUCUUAUUCUACAACU
rfam:Gossypium raimondii chromosome 11, whole genome shotgun sequence.